CACCAGGUCAGGACACGGUAAGGAUUGACGGACUGAAGGCUCUUUCUCGAUUCCGUGGAAAGUGGUGCAUGGCCGUUUUUGGUUGGUGGAUCGAUCCGUCUGGUUAAUUCCGUUAACGAACGAGACCUCGGCACUCCGAAUAGCGCGGCGGACGUCGCGGCCUCCGGGCCGUCUUCCGCACGAGCUUCUUAGAGGGACCGUCCCCCGCCGGGGAAGGAGGUGCGAGGCAACGACAGGUCUGUGAUGCCCUUAGAUGUUCUGGGCCGCACGCGCAUUACACUGACGCGUCCAACGGGUGACUCCCGACCCGAAGGGGCCGGGGAAUCCGCAAGGCGCGUCGUGAUGGGGAUUGAACGUUGCAAUUGUUGUUCACGAACGAGGAAUUCCUAGUAGGCGCGGGUCAUCAACCCGCGCCGAUUACGUCCCUGCCCUUUGUACACAC
rnacentral:rRNA from 1 species